UAGUGCAUCUUAAUAGGUCUUAAUGUAUAAGAAACUUGAUGGAGGUAUUGUAUGUACAAACAGCUGUUUUCUUCCAGCCUUAACCUCUCACUGUCUCUUAUAGGAUGCUGUCACUUGUUUUUGGAAGCCUGCUGUGGUUUCCUCUAAAUUACCAUGUUUGAGGGAAUAGUGUGUGUUGCUGUGCUGAGUAUUGCUGCUGUGGAGGUCUUAGGUGACUGUUUAUUGAUUUGGAUCCCAUCAUACAUUCAUUGUUCAGGAGGUUCACUA